rnacentral:rRNA from 1 species
UACGUAGGGUGCAAGCGUUGUCCGGAAUUAUUGGGCGUAAAGAGCUCGUAGGCGGUCUGUCGCGUCUGCUGUGAAAACUCAGGGCUUAACCCUGAGCUUGCAGUGGGUACGGGCAGACUAGAGUGCGGUAGGGGAGACUGGAAUUCCUGGUGUAGCGGUGAAAUGCGCAGAUAUCAGGAGGAACACCGGUGGCGAAGGCGGCGUGCUGGACCCGUCCUGACGCUGAGGCGCGAAAGCCAGGGGAGCGAACGGG